rnacentral:rRNA from 1 species
CCUACGGGAGGCAGCAGUGGGGAAUAUUGGGCAAUGGGCGCAAGCCUGACCCAGCAACGCCGCGUGAAGGAAGAAGGCUUUCGGGGUGUAAACUUCUUUUAAGAGGGAAGAGCAGAAGACGGUACCUCUUGAAUAAGCCACGGCUAACUACGUGCCAGCAGCCGCGGUAAUACGUAGGUGGCAAGCGUUGUCCGGAUUUACUGGGUGUAAAGGGCGUGCAGCCGGGAAGACAAGUCAGAUGUGAAAUCCAGCGGCUCAACCGCGGAACUGCAUUUGAAACUGUUUUUCUUGAGUACCGGAGAGGUCAUCGGAAUGCCUUGUGUAGCGGUGAAAUGCGUAGAUAUAAGGAAGAACACCAGUGGCGAAGGCGGAGGACUGGACGGCAACUGACGGUGAGGCGCGAAAGCGUGGGGAGCAAACAGGAUUAGAUACCCUAGUAGUC